rnacentral:rRNA from 1 species
UACGUAGGGUGCAAGCGUUAAUCGGAAUUACUGGGCGUAAAGCGUGCGCAGGCGGCUUUGCAGGACAGAUGUGAAAUCCCCGGGCUCAACCUGGGAACUGCAUUUGUGACUGCAAGGCUAGAGUACGGUAGAGGGGGAUGGAAUUCCGCGUGUAGCAGUGAAAUGCGUAGAUAUGCGGAGGAACACCGAUGGCGAAGGCAAUCCCCUGGACCUGUACUGACGCUCAUGCACGAAAGCGUGGGGAGCAAACAGG